rnacentral:rRNA from 1 species
GAUGAACGCUGGCGGCGUGCCUAAUACAUGCAAGUCGAGCGAAUGGAUUAAGAGCUUGCUCUUAUGAAGUUAGCGGCGGACGGGUGAGUAACACGUGGGUAACCUGCCCAUAAGACUGGGAUAACUCCGGGAAACCGGGGCUAAUACCGGAUAACAUUUUGAACCGCAAGGAUCGAAAUUGAAAGGCGGCUUCGGCUGUCACUUAUGGAGGGACCCGCGUCGCAUUAGCUAGUUGGGGAGGUAACGGCUAACCAAGGCAACGAUGCGUAGCCGAACUGAGAGGGUGAUCGGCCACACUGGGACUGAGACACGGCCCAGACUCCUACGGGAGGCAGCAGUAGGGAAUCUUCCGCAAUGGACGAAAGUCUGACGGAGCAACGCCGCGUGAGUGAUGAAGGCUUUCGGGUCGUAAAACUCUGUUGUUAGGGAAGAACAAGUGCUAGUUGAAUAAGCUGGCACCUUGACGGUACCUAACCAGAAAGCCACGGCUAACUACGUGCCAGCCGCCGCGGUAA